UACGUAGGUGGCAAGCGUUAUCCGGAAUUAUUGGGCGUAAAGCGCGCGCAGGUGGUUUCUUAAGUCUGAUGUGAAAGCCCACGGCUCAACCGUGGAGGGUCAUUGGAAACUGGGAGACUUGAGUGCAGAAGAGGAAAGUGGAAUUCCAUGUGUAGCGGUGAAAUGCGUAGAGAUAUGGAGGAACACCAGUGGCGAAGGCGACUUUCUGGUCUGUAACUGACACUGAGGCGCGAAAGCGUGGGGAGCAAACAGA
rnacentral:rRNA from 1 species